rnacentral:rRNA from 1 species
AUUGAACGCUAGCGGCAGGCCUAAUACAUGCAAGUCGAACGGUAAGUGUGGUAGCAAUAUAACACCAAGAGUGACGUACGGGUGCGUAACACGUAUGCAACCUACCCUUUACAGGAGGAUAGCCCGGGGAAACCCGAAUUAACCCUCCAUAAUAUAAUUGGAUGGCAUCAUCCGCUUAUUAAAACUCAGGUGGUAAAGGAUGGGCAUGCGUCUGAUUAGUUAGUUGGCGGGGUAACGGCCCACCAAGACGAUGAUCAGUAGGGGAACUGAGGGGUUGAUCCCCCACACUGGCACUGAGAUACGGGCCAGACUCCUACGGGAGGCAGCAGUAGGGAAUAUUGGUCAAUGGAUGCAAGUCUGAACCAGCCAUGCCGCGUGCAGGAAGAAGGCCUUCUGGGUUGUAAACUGCUUUUGCCAGGGGAUAAAAAUCUCACGCGUGAGAAAUUGAAGGUACCUGGUGAAUAAGCCACGGCUAACUACGUGCCAGCCGCCGCGGUAACAC